rnacentral:miRNA from 1 species
UAAUGUACUCAGGUGAAUAUGAUGCUUGUGAUGUUACUCUGAGUCAGUGUAACACUCAGAGUAACAUCACAAGCAUCAUAUUCACCUGAGUAC